AUACGGAGGGUGCAAGCGUUAAUCGGAAUUACUGGGCGUAAAGGGUUCGUAGGCGGUUAUUUAAGUCAGAUGUGAAAGCCCCGGGCUCAACCUGGGAAUUGCAUCUGAUACUGGGUAACUAGAGUUUAAGAGAGGAGUGUGGAAUUUCCGGUGUAGCGGUGAAAUGCAUAGAGAUCGGAAGGAACAUCAGUGGCGAAGGCGGCACUCUGGCUUAAACCUGACGCUGAGGAACGAAAGCGUGGGUAGCAAACAGGAUUAGAUACCCUAGUAGUCC
rnacentral:rRNA from 1 species